rnacentral:rRNA from 1 species
UUGUCGCCAGCUCGUGUCGUGAGAUGUUGGGUUAAGUCCCGCAACGAGCCGCAACCCUCGACCUUAGUUGCCAGCAUUCAGUUGGGCACUCUAAGGUGACUGCCGGCUAAAAGUCGGAGGAAGGUGGGGAUGACGUCAAAUCAUCAUGCCCCUUAUGACCUGGGCUACACACGUGCUACAAUGGGCGGUACAAAGGGUCGCGAACCCGCGAGGGGGAGCCAAUCCCAAAAAGCCGCUCUCAGUUCGGAUUGCAGGCUGCAACUCGCCUGCAUGAAGCCGGAAUCGCUAGUAAUCGCGGAUCAGCAUGCCGCGGUGAAUACGUUCCCGGGCCUU